rnacentral:rRNA from 1 species
CUACGGGGUGCACCAGUGGGGAAUAUUGGACAAUGGGCGCAAGCCUGAUCCAGCAAUACCGCGUGUGUGAAGAAGGCCUGCGGGUUGUAAAGCACUUUCAAUUGUGAAGAAAAGCGAGGGCUUAAUACGCUCUUGUCUUGACGUUAACUUUAGAAGAAGCACCGGCUAACUCUGUGCCAGCAGCCGCGGUAAUACAGAGGGUGCGAGCGUUAAUCGGAAUUACUGGGCGUAAAGCGUACGUAGGCGGUUUAGUAAGUCAGAUGUGAACGCCCUGGGCUCAACCUGGGAACUGCAUUUGAAACUGCUAGACUAGAGUGUGGUAGAGGGAAGUGGAAUUCCGGGUGUAGCGGUGAAAUGCGUAGAUAUCCGGAGGAACACCAGUGGCGAAGGCGACUUCCUGGACCGACACUGACGCUGAGGUACGAAAGCGUGGGUAGCAAACAGGAUUAGAUACCCCCGUAGUC